GAAAAAGAUCGAGAAGAAGCGGAACGAAGAAAAUUUUGAUUAGUCGCAAAUAGUUCAUCAUAGAGAAACAUAUCGUAAAAGAUCUAAAGAGUUUUAUCUUUUAAAAAAAAAAAAAGAAAAUUUUGGUUUGUACAAAUUGUUUAGCGUAGAGAAUACGUUGUACGAGUUUUUUAAAAGUUUUAUUUAAAAUGAUAUAUAUUCAGUGUUAAAGAAACAGAUUCAAAAUUGUAAAUCAUGCCGUUCGGAAGCGGAAGAAAACCGUCGAGAAAAGUGAAGUUUCAGUAAAUGAAGUUGGAAAAACAGUUUGUCAGCACUGUGAAAAUAUAAUAUCUUCUAAGAUUGAAAGAAUUCGAGCGCAUCUCAAAAAAUGUCAUAUACGGAACAUAUCAAUUUGUGAAGUAGAGAACGACGUAUCAAAUGAUAAUAAUGAGGAACUGUGGAAAUAAAAAUUUCCAAACAAAUGUUCUAAAAUUUGCGACCUGGAUAUAAAUCGCCGAAUCGGAAACAACAUGCAGGGCCUUUUCUGGCAAUCUUAUCGAUUGCCGAAGAAAUUGAUAAAAUUGUCAACGAUUUAAAAAAUGCAAAUGUAACUUGCAUAACUCUCCUGCUAGGUGGCUAGUCCAGCGUCCGAAAUGAUCCUAUAAUUGCACACAGUAUGUACUGAUACGCAAUCUUAUUUGUUUAAUGUCGUGAAUUGUGGAUCAGAGAAAAAAACAACGGAAACAUGCCGUGAAUUGGCACACAUUGCGAUUAAGGAAAUAAAAGAAAAAUAUAAGGUUGACGUAUUUGCCAUUUGUUCGGACAAUGAGAAUAAAAUAAAGGCAAAUUAAUGGAAAAUGAUUAUCCGCAUAUUUUAACAUAUAACUGCUCUGCUCAUUUUUUUAAAUCUAUAGAAAU